UAGAGUUUGAUCCUGGCUCAGAUUGAACGCUGGCGGCAGGCUUAACACAUGCAAGUCGAGCGGUAACAGGUCCAGCUUGCUGGAUGCUGACGAGCGGCGGACGGGUGAGUAAUGCAUAGGAAACUGCCCAAUAGUGGGGGAUAGCCCGGGGAAACCCGGAUUAAUACCGCAUACGUCCUACGGGAGAAAGCAGGGGCUCUUCGGACCUUGCGCUAUUGGAUGUGCCUAUGUCGGAUUAGCUAGUUGGUGGGGUAAAGGCCUACCAAGGCGACGAUCCGUAGCUGGUCUGAGAGGAUGAUCAGCCACAUCGGGACUGAGACACGGCCCGAACUCCUACGGGAGGCAGCAGUGGGGAAUAUUGGACAAUGGGGGCAACCCUGAUCCAGCCAUGCCGCGUGUGUGAAGAAGGCUUUCGGGUUGUAAAGCACUUUCAGUGAGGAGGAAAACCUUAUGGUUAAUACCCAUGAGGCUUGACGUUACUCACAGAAGAAGCACGGCAAUCC
rnacentral:rRNA from 1 species